AGGCAACAAUUUCAGGAAUAGUCAGUAGGAAGCAGAGUCAGAGUCUAGCAAAGAAAGUUUAACAUAGACUUUAGCAUAAGGGUUAAGAGGAAGGGAGGAGGCACAGAAGCCACAAGACACAUUUGAAAGCAUGAGUGUGGGGUUGCCUGGGAGUCCUUCCUCAUCUUCACAAUACUCCACUAUACCAUUUUGGUGGGUUUUGAAGCUACUAUCUUAAAGGUCUGCUAAAUGAGAUCUCUGGAAGACAGGAUACGGGGUGGAGAGGCUGACAGGAUUGCACUCAAAACAGAAGAGUCUGGCUUGCCUGAAUACAUGUGCUGAAGAGGAAAUGAGGGAGAAGGAAGAGAAGAAUGAGAGGGGAAGAGGAAGGAGAAAAACAAAAGGUUUGACACACAGAGCCAAGUGGCUGUGGACCGGAACCUCUGGCACCCUUUGAAGCUCAGCAGAAAAAAUUUCACUCAGAAUGGUGUCAGAAAGAUGGCGGUGUAUCAACUAGGGAUGCCUCUACGUCCUUCAGUCCUUUACUGGACACCUAACUUGACAGCAGCAACAAUGGGCUCAGCACCAACAGCUGCUGUUUCAUCCAGAAACCAGCUGCCAGGUCCCCACAACUCACUCGGUUUUUCCACAAAAGAAGUGUGCAGGCCGAGCUGGAGAGAUGGCUCAGAGGUUAAGAGCACCAACUGCCCUUCCAGAGGUCCUGAGUUCAAUUCCCAGCAACCACAUGGUGGCUCACAACCAUCCGUUAUGAGAUCUGGUGCCCUCUUCUGGUGUGCAGAUAUACAUGGAAG
rnacentral:lncRNA from 1 species